rnacentral:rRNA from 1 species
AUGGCGGCCACGCUAAUAAGCAACGCGGCGAGGAGGCUCGCUGGUCGCGCGCUUCAGCCGGCGGUUCGGCGCGCAAGGAUGGUGCGCACCAGGCCGCUGACCGCUGAUGAGACGAAAGAUGCUGCGAGUCUCGUGGCGAAAAUCAAAACGAGGAAAGAGGAGCUGUAUGAUCUGAUCGCUCACUGUGAACGUAACUAUGUUGUUGGUGGGUCGACAGGCUUAGAAAACGGCGAUCGUGUCAUCGAGCAACAACCUUCAGCAAUUACGUGCGUACGGCGGGGAGAUGGUGUCUUGGUUAUAUGA